rnacentral:lncRNA from 1 species
GAAAGAAUUCUAGGAACCUCACUAAUGAGUCUGAAAUUAAUUGUUUUAGACCACCUAGACACAAUUCUAGGAAUUUUAUAAAUGAGUCUAGAAUGAAUAAUUUUAGACCACCUAGACAUGACUCUAGGAAAUUCAACGCUUCUAGGGGGAACAACUAUAGAUCACCUAGAACGCAUUUGGCUCAACCUAGACAUAUGCACAAUCCUAAUGUUAU